UACGUAGGGUGCAAGCGUUAAUCGGAAUUACUGGGCGUAAAGCGUGCGCAGGCGGUGAUGUAAGUCAGAUGUGAAAGCCCCGGGCUCAACCUGGGAACUGCAUUUGAGACUGCUCUGCUCGGGUGCGGAAGAGGGAAGCGGAAUUUCCGGUGUAGCGGUGAAAUGCGUAGAUAUCGGAAGGAACACCAGUGGCGAAAGCGGCUUCCUGGUCCGACACCGACGUUCAGGCACGAAAGCGUGGGGAGCAAACAGG
rnacentral:rRNA from 1 species